UGCUCGGUAGCUCAGUUGGUAGAGCAGAUGGCUGUUAACCAUUUGGUCACAAGUUCAAGUCUUGUCCGAGCAG
rnacentral:tRNA from 1 species